UUCAAAUAGUAUUUAAUUCCGAUGGGACCCAAGAAGGAGAACAUUCAGAUUGUGCAUAUAGCAUACGCGUGAAGUUACUGAUUGCAAAAAUGCAGCAGAACAAGAUCCGGCGGAUUUUUUACGAUCAGUCAAAUUAGUAUUUCAUCACGACAACAUACUCCGCGUCGGAACCGGUUGAACCUGCUGGUCCAGCAUUCAGGGCGAGCAUACCACAACCAAACAUGUACUGAAGGAUGUCCGGUUGAAGAAUUGAACUGCGGAAGAUACGGGAGGAAUCCGGUGGUAAUAUUUCUCGCAAGAGCAGCACCGAAACGGAGUGCAACUUGAAUUUCCUCAACCCGGAUUCAAAAGGUUAUUCGGUUAUUCGCUAUUCGGUGCCGGUUGAUCAUCGGAUGCUGCUGCAGAACGGACCGCCGUUGAGGCCGAAAGAUAUCAUUGGUCAAGGUUCCACCCAUAACAAAGAAAGAAUAUGUCGCCGCUAUGAAGGUCUUCGCUAGAGAUUCGUGCAUCCUCCGAUCGCCACAUCGACGUGGGCGAAGUGAAUGUUUUUAUGUAUUUUGACAUCAGCUAGAAUUCCGCAGAUAUGUGUAGCGCAUUGGUCGAACCGAAAGGCAGCCGAUUGGAAAGGAUCUGAUGUUGUUCACCGAGGGAUAAGAGGCGCUUCGAGAUAGCGAAGAACUAAUUUUGCGCCAACUGCAAUGGGCCAAUAUGGAGGGAAUUUGUUCCAACUUGUUCUAGCGCAUCGCAGCCACCACGAAAAAGCGGCUCUUGAGGCUUUCAAGUACCUGAUCGAGACGAUAAAAAGAAAGUGAUCUUUACA